UGGUUUAUUAAGCACCUCCUGCACUUUGAACACUGUACAACACGUGAGAGGAUAAAAGAUUAUUAACAGUAGCAGUUUCCAUUUAUUGAGAGCUUACUAUGGAGUAGGCACUGAACACUCACGAUAAUUCUAUGAAGUAUUAUUAUUAACCCCAUCUAUCAGUUGAAGAAAAAUGAGACCCAGAAAGGUUAAGCAAGUCAUUUAAAGUCACAGAACAAACAAGGUUCCUGGAUUUUCCUAUGCACCUGUAUCUGUGUGGACCCAAAGCCCCGGCACUUCACAAUGAACUCCAGCGUCCUCUAGAAAUCUAGGAACCGAAGGACUUCUUGACAAACUGCUCUACGACAGUAACGAGGCCUUAGAGCUGCAGCCAGACUGACUUCGAGUUUCGGCCGCAUCCUUUUCUGUGACCCUCAGCAGGUUCCUUCACUCUUUUGAGCCUCAGUUUCCCCAAUUGUAUAACGAGGGUAAAAAACCACGCCUUUCUCUCAGGGUUAUUGUGGGUAUUCAUUGAGAAGACGUGUGUGGAGCCCGGUGUCCGGCACCCAGUGAGAGCCUGGAACAAUCAUUAGGAUGUCUGAGUCCUUAUCACUCGUGCGCAGCACAACACGACCGUGGGCACAGGGUUGAAGGCGGUUCCCUACGCCUAGCCUCUCGAUAGGAACCUUCAGGGACGGGUGGACUUAAAGGAGCCGGUGGCCUUAAGAGUCCAGUCGAUGCUGCCACGUGAUGGGCCUGGGGGAAAGCCCCGAUCCCAAGCGCCAACAGAGCAGCCGACCUCAGCCAACCUCAACCAACACGUAGGCGAGGAUGCCCAGGGUGAGCGCCAGCGGCGAGAAGACGCGCUAUCGCGAGAUCGGUGGGACCUACGCGUUUACAGGCCGGAAGUGAGGGGCGGGCCUAAGGGGGCGCGCUCCUUUUGAAACCUGAGACGGAGACCUGCGGAGGGCGAGGGCUGGUUGGAGGUCGCUGUCCUUUCUGGGAACCAAGCAGGGGUCGCAGGAGGGCGGGGAUGGGUCAGCGGGGAUCUCUGAGUGGGGUUCGGCUGAGAGAGGCCACAGUUUCAUCUUUGGGAAGCUACCCUGGGCCGGCCACGCGCCGUGAGCCGGACUGGCGACGCCCCCCUGCCUCCACCGUGCUCCUUCACCCGAGAAAUUCAGCUCAGCCCCAGCCUCUCGGCAACCUCCCUUUGGCUCCGCCUUUUAAAGGACCUUUACGGCACCACAAAACUGCGCCCCUGCCUGAUUUCAUUUCAGCAAGCUUUACUGUGAAGUGUUUAUGUGCCAGGUACCAUGUGUAGAAGCGCUGGCCCAGAGAUGAAGAUGAAGUUUCUAUCCUUAAGGCAUGCAAUGUGGGAGAUGAACAGAGACAGGCAAGAGAGCCACAGAAGAGAAAGUGAUGUGAAGACAGAAGCAGGGAUUGGAGUGAUCCAUCUACAAGCCAAGAAAUACCAAUGGUUGCUGCCAGCCACCAGGAUCUAGGAGAGUGGCAUGGAACAGAUUUUCCCUUAGAGCUUCCAGAAAGAACUAACCCUGUCAACACUGUGAUUCUGGACAGUGAGAGAGAAAUUUCUAUUGUUUUAAGCCAUCAAGUUUGUGGUAAUUUGUUAUGGCAACCGUAGGAAACAUCACCCAGUAAAUCCAAAUUAAAUAUUAUCCCAAUUUUUGCUUGAUACCAGAAAUGGCUGUAGUGUUUCAACACCCUCUAGCAUAAGAGAAUUGUAACAGGGGAAGCUGGUGUGGAAACAGACAGCAGUCUGAACCAGUUUGGACAAAAAUACUGGUCUUGCAAAUUUUAGAAAAAGCACACAACCUCUGAACACAUGACUAGGGCCCCUUCCAGGAACUUAGAAGGGGCCCGGCCGAGGGAGAGUCCCUGAAGCUUAUGUUUAAUACAUUUUACAGAAGAGCUGCCUCGGUGUAGGAAGCAGUGUAGUGUUGCGAAGACAAGCUCUGGAGCCAGACACCCUGGGUUCAAAUCCCAAUUUCGCAACUGUCUAGCUGUUGACUUGAGAGAAGUUACUUAGCCUUUCUGCGCCCCAAUUUCUUCCUUCGUAAAAUAUAAAUGGCAGUAGCACUAUCUGCCUCAUAGGGUUGUUUACCUGGUGAAGUAACAUGAUACACAUAAGGCAC
rnacentral:lncRNA from 10 species